UUCUAGACACGAUCGAAAAGGUUUGCAUCACUUUGCUACACAUAUAGGAGUAAUUUUCACUUAACUCAAAUCUACCGGACUAAGGAUUUUGACGACAAAACGGACACAUGUAUGAGUACUUGGCAAUUUGUGCACAUCCAUUUGUCUACCCAACCUCCUCAGCUUCCUCUAUAUUAUUGAUCCCUAAUUUCUUCCCAAUCUAUUCUCUAUCCCCAAUCUCUUGCUCUAGAUGUGACAGAGUCAGAGCAAGGCGGCGGUGAGAGCGUCAGUUGCGACGCCGGCCUCAUCGUGAACAACCAGCAUAAUCCAUCCUCCCUGUCUGCCGGUCCAUCCGCAGCAAGAACAAUUGGGCCAUCGAAGAUGAGGCGCAUACGACUAGCAGAGAAUCUGGUCGGGCUCCGCCACGCCAUGCCGCCCUUUCGUGUUCAGGAGAAGGAGUGGACGAUGCUAGCCUAGACGGAGUCGGCGGCGGCUGUCCUAGACUCGGUGGCGAGGAGGAUGAGUGAUAUGAUUGUGCCCAACCUUUCACGGCGAUCGUAAUUGUAGCACCAAGGAUAAGUCAACUCAGUGAGAACCCAAAUUGCCAAACCUAGUUCUGAGGCGUUGAGUUGAUCAAGAUCCACUCCACGCCCAACAGCGAUCAAGAUCCUCUCGGAUCAGCAAGCAAUCAUAGAUUUUGGUGCUCCCCUGACAUGGGAACCUUUUCUAUUAAUCUCAUGGUUUUUUCCCCCCUUCAACCCAAGAUCAACGAACCCUUAUAUAGGUGUCCCAAAAACCUGUUCGGUGGGACAAGACCACUAUCCAAAAAAACACUUAAACUCUCCUAACAAAAAUAAUAAUUAAAAACAAGUCUAUCCGGACCUAACUCAAACUUAAAAAGAAAAACACAAGCCUAAAACGCAAGACCCAUACUUUUAAAUGUCCUGGGCCAUGCUCCCUUGGCCAAAUCGAAAUAUACAUGGAGGUGUCCUGAAAUUGGGAUUCACUUCAUCCUUCUUGGGAUCAACAUAAGGCACCUCAAUAAUAAAAGAACCAAGCUUAAGCAUAUGAGA
rnacentral:lncRNA from 1 species